CAUCAACAAAAAGAAAGAAAGAAAAAGUGCAGAGUGCGAGCUGAGAGAAGAAAAGAGGAAACCAAUAAAGGUAAAAAUGGUUCUUCUGCUGCCUCUUCUUCAUCACGAUUUUCUUCUUCUCUUCCUUCGUCUUCGUUGUCAUC
rnacentral:ribozyme from 1 species